UGCACUCACCAUGCAGUGGGGAGCCCAUAUAGGGUUAAGCCUCAGACUGACCUGUUGGCAAUGUCACAAACAGGUCUUCCUAGUCUUAAACAUCCCAAUCUGAGAGGUGGCUGCUGAUUUACACGUGCUAUCAUUUAAAAAAUAAAAA